CUGGAAACACAUUCCUCUUUACAACAAUAACAUUUUCUUUUUCCUGCGGAACAACUGGUUUUCUCCUCAAGUACAGGAUCCUUAUCAGCAAGGUGAGCAUCUGCCCCAAGUUUUCCAACCAGCAAUCUAUAGGUUUCAGCAUUCGACUUAUUUACUGUAGCAAAUGAGAAUAGGCAGCUAUCACACAUCCCAUGAACCGCAACGACUAGUUUGCUCCUUGAGUAAAGGAUACUUAUCAGCAAUGUGAGGAUCUGCCCCGAGUUUUCCAACUAGCAAUCUAUAGGUUUCAGCAUUCGACUUAUUUACUGUAGCAAACGAGAAAAGGCAACUCUCACACAUCCCAUGAACAUCGACAAGGUUAUCAUGAGAAUGACAAAUAAUUAAUGAAGAUAUCUUCAACUUAUGAUUGAGGCAUAUUAAAUCCCA
rnacentral:lncRNA from 1 species